AGCAGCCGCGGUAAUUCCAGCUCCAAUAGCGUAUAUUAAAGUUGUUGCAGUUAAAAAGCUCGUAGUUGAAUUUCGGGGUUAGUAGGCUGGUCAUGCCACCGGUAUGUACUGGUCUCACUGAUUCCUCCUUCCUGAUGAACCGUAAUGCCAUUAAUUUGGUGCUGCGGGGAAUUUGGACUGUUACUUUGAAAAAAUUAGAGUGUUUAAAGCAGGCUAACGCUUGAAUACAUUAGCAUGGAAUAAUGAAAUAGGACGUUCGAUCCUAUUUUGUUGGUUUCUAGGAUUGACGUAAUGAUUAAUAGGGAUAGUUGGGGGCAUUAGUAUUCAAUUGUCAGAGGUGAAAUUCUUGGAUUUAUUGAAGACUAACUACUGCGAAAGCAUUUGCCAAGGAUGUUUUCAUUAAUCAAGAACGAAAGUUAGGGGAUCGAAGACGAUCAGAUACCGUCGUAGUCUUAACCAUAAACUAUGCCGACUAGGGAUCGGAUGAUGUUAAUUUUUUAAUGACUCA
rnacentral:rRNA from 1 species